AGUCGAACGGACUUAACCGAAAUAUUUAUAUUUUGGAGCGGUUAGUGGCGGACUGGUGAGUAACGCGUAAGCAAUCUGCCUAUUAGAGGGGAAUAACAGUGAGAAAUCACUGCUAAUACCGCAUAUGCCAUGAACAUCGCAUGAUGAAAAUGGGAAAGGAGUAAUCCGCUAAUAGAUGAGCUUGCGUCUGAUUAACUAGUUGGUGUGGUAAUGGCAUACCAAGGUAACGAUCAGUAGCCGGACUGAGAGGUUGAACGGCCACAUUGGGACUGAGAUACGGCCCAGACUCCUACGGGAGGCAGCAGUCGGGAAUAUUGCGCAAUGGAGGAAACUCUGACGCAGUGACGCCGCGUAUAGGAUGAAGGUUUUCGGAUUGUAAACUAUUGUCAUUAGGGAAGAUAAAAGACAGUACCUAGGGAGGAAGCUCCGGCUAACUACGUGCCAGCAGCCGCGGUAAUACGUAGGGAGCAAGCGUUAUCCGGAUUUAUUGGGUGUAAAGGGUGCGUAGACGGGAGAUUAAGUUAGUUGUGAAAGCCCUCGGCUUAACUGAGGAAUUGCAACUAAAACUGGUUUUCUUGAGUGCAGGAGAGGUAAGUGGAAUUCCUAGUGUAGCGGUGAAAUGCGUAGAUAUUAGGAGGAACACCAGUGG
rnacentral:rRNA from 1 species